CAUGGCGUGAACCCGGAAGGUGGAGCUUGCAGCGAGCUGGGAUUGCGCCACUGCACUCCAGCCUGGGCUACAGAGCAAGAUUCUGUCUCAAAAAAAAAAAAAAAAAAAAAAGGAAAUUAAACACGUACACAGGUAUGCACACACAUACAAAGAGACAUUUUAAACCAAUAAAAGCUAAAAGAAUGGGAAAGGAAAUGACAGCAAAUGAAGUGUGGUAAAAAGAAAAGAAAAGAAAAAAGAAAUGAAAGAAUAAAGAAAGCAGCUGUGUAAGUGGUAACUGAUUUGCUAAAUCUGAAAAGGCUAAAUUUUAUGCCUGAAGAGAGGCAUGCCAACAGGAAGCAAGACAAUUUGUGCAAAAGAAACCCAGAAUGACUUAGGAAUUGGAGGCUCUGAGUAUCUCUGAAGGUGAGGGUAAAGGGUAGAACUGAAGAAUGAACUCUUAGAAGGAAGUUUGACUACUGUAAUCCCAGCACUUUGGGAGGCUGAAGUGGGUGGAUCACUUGAACUCAGGAGUUCGAGACCAGCGUGGGCAACAUGGCGAACCCCCGUCUCUACCAAAAAUACAAAAAUUAGCCAGGCGUGGUGGCAUGCGCUUGAGGUCCCAGCUACUUGGGGGGCUGAGGUAGGAGGAUCACUUGAGCCAGGGAGGCAGAAGUUGCAGUGAGCCAAGAUCUCACCACUGACUGUACUCCAGCCUGGGCAACAGAGCCAGAUCCUGUCUCAAAAAAAAAAAAAAAAAGAAGAAGAAGAAGGAAGUCUGACUAAAUAAAAAACAAUCAGACCCCCAAGUGUCCUCCCUUAUUCCAAUAUCUAGGUGAUUACCUCUAACUAAGCUGAGAAGACAGAAAAGUAAUGAUUCUGGAGAAAUUAAAUCUGAGAAGCUCUGAGCUCCAGGAACAGGAAGCACAGCUAAUAGAUUAAAUGAAAUCCUAUGGAAAGAACUCCCGCUAGCCGGGCAUGGUGGCUCAGGCCUGUAAUCUCAACACUUUGGGAGGCUGAGACGGGAAGAUGUCUUGAGCCCAGGAGUUAGAGAUGAGUCUGGGCAACAUAGUGAGACCCCAUCUCUACUAAAAAUUAAAAUUAAAAAAAAAAAAACGGCCAAGUAUGAUGGUGUGUAUCUGUAGUCUCAGCUACUUGGGAGGCUGAGGUGGCAGUAUUGCUUGAGCCCAAAAGGUUGAGGCUGCAGUGAGCCAUGUUCAUACCACUGCAUUCCAGCCUAGGCAACAGAUCCAUGGACACAUAAAAAAAAAAAUGGCCUCCCAGAACCCUCCAAAUUUGACGGUGGGAUUAUUAUUCCUAUUUCACCCAAGACAGGAGACUAGAGAAGUCCUCUCUGAGGAAACCAUCCUGUCUAAGAGACAGAACUACUGUUGAGUUUGAAUUCAGUCUGUACACACAGUCUUCUUGAAUGAUUUGUUUAUGACCAGUGCGUUCUGAGAGUCCUGGUACCUCUCUGAAUGAAUGAUACCUAUGCCAUAUCAGCCUUGGGGGCCCCCAAUUAAUGAGUUAGUUACUAGAAAACUCAGCAGUCAAUAAGACUCAGCCUCAUACACAGAGCAUUUGAUCAGCUAUUUACAGUAUCAUUCUUAUUGUGAAGAGUCAACCAAAGAUUACCAGGUAUUAAAGUACGCCACCAAGAUGAAAAGCAAAGACAUAAAUAAAUAAAUAAAUAAAUAAAUAAUAUAACUCGGAGGGAAAAGAGAUAAUUCAAAGGGCAGAAUAAAACUCUUAAAAAGUUACACUUUCAGGGAAUGCUUACAUACUAUUGGUGGGAAUGUAAAUGAGUACAACCUUCAUGAAAAACAUUAUAGCAAUUUCUCAAAUAAGUAAAAUUAGUACUUUCAUUCAAUCCAGCAAUUUCACUAUUUGGUAUCUACCCAAAGGGAAAACAUCAUUAUAUAAAAAACAUACCUACACUCAUAUGUUUAUCAUAGCACUAUUCACAACAGCAAAAAUAUGGAAUCAACCUAAGUGUCCACCAAUGGAGACUGAAUGAAGUUAUAUAUAUACACACAUUUUAUAUAAAUAUAAAAAAUACAUUUUUAUAUAAGUAUAUAAAGUAUGUAUUUAUAUAUGUUUUAUAUAUAUAUAUAUAUAUAUAUGGCAUGGAAUACUACUCAGCCAUAAAAAAGAAUAAAAUUAUGUCUUUUGCAGCAACGUGGAUGGAACUGAAGGCCAUUAUCCUCAGUGAAUAACUCAGAAAGUUAAAUACUGCAUGUUCUCACUUAUAAGUGGGAGCUAAACAAUGGGUACAUGUGAACAUACAGAGGGAAAUAAUAGACAUUGGAGACUUCAAAAAGUGGGAGGGUAGGAGGGGGUGAGGGUUGCAAAACUACAUAUUGGGUACAAUGUUCACUCUUUGGGUGACGGGUACACUGAAAGCCCAGACUUCACCACUUCACAUACAAUAUAUGCAUGUGAGAAACUUGUACUCCCUAAAUAUAAAUAAAUAAAUAAAUAAAUAUUAUAACCUCAGAGAAAUAUAAAAAGAUAUUAUAUCCACAAAACAAAUCAAACAAGAAUAAGAUGCUAUUUUUUAAAGAGACCAUGAGAAAUAUAUGAAAGGAUUCUUUCUGAUUGACCAGAAUUUUUUAAGUAGGUAGAAUUAGAAACAUAAAGUUGUAGAAAUUGCCCAGAAAUUAGAUCGAAAUAACAGAGAUGGAAAAUACAACAAAUGGGGGGAAAAAACACAAUUAUAGGAUUAUACACAGGAGAUCAGAGAUCUGAAUUAUUGUUUCAGAAAAAAUAAAUUGAGAGGAAAAAUAUCAAUAAUACAAGAAAAGGUACCACAUAAAUGAAAGAUUAUACACAUUAAAACCUUCAGCAUGACAGCAAAUAUCUCAGAGUGACUUAAUGCCAUACACUGAAGCAUGGAGUUUGCUAGUAAAGAAUUACAAAUACUUACUGACCAAAGAUAGUCAUGAGCUCAACUGCUUUAUGGUAAAAUAAUUAGCAAUUGAGUCUUCCUGCAAUUGAGGAUGUAAUCAGUCAUGAGACCACAUCAUGCCAAUUUUCAUGACCAGUUGAGUUCAGAAACUUUGUUUCUUUGUGGUUCAUAGAAGUAUUACUCCUAGAUAAGAAGACUACUGUCUUUCGCUUUGAGACGGGAGUCUCUUUUAGAACUCCAAACAUCAAAUGUUCAAGUCUGAAAGCUCAUAACUGUCCAAAAGGAGUUACCCACUAAGUGACUUGAAUUACGCCUAGAAUUCAUUUCUCUAUCUGUUCAAUUUUCAUCCCCCAUGAGAAUCUUCAAUAAUGCUAGAGAAAUAUCUUCAACAACAGCAGCGUGAUGACUUGCAAACAUUUACUGAGUAGUUCCCAUGGAGGCAUGAAAAUACACUGGAAAGCAGGCUCAUCAGAUUACAGGGAGAGAUGAGCAAAGCAAUUUAUUUAUUUAAACUUUUUAUAUGAAAAAUUUCAAAUAUAUUUUGAAAUUUCAAAAUUCAAAAAAGAAAAAAGAAUAUAAUAAACUCCAUGUACUCUGCUUCAAUAAUUGUCAACUCACAGUCAAACUUGUUUUAUUUACACCCCCAUCUAAUUCCAUUCCCCCCCACACCACUGGAUUAUUUUGAAGCAAAACCAAGCCAUCACAUCAUUUCAUCUUAUGUAUAUCUUCAUAUGUAUAUGUAUAUAUGAAGAUAUACAUGAAUUUAUACAUGAAGAUGAAAUGAAUAUAUAUAUAGGAAUGAAUAUAUAUGAAGAUGAAUAUAUUUGAUAUAUACAUAUAUAAUCAGAAAUAAGAACUUUUCCUUAAAUCUAAGCACAAUUCAUUAUCAUAAUUAGAGGUGAUUAACAAUAAUAUAUAAUAUUACUAACUAUUCAAUCACAUGUGCAUGUGUGUGUGUAUGUUUUGGAAACACUAUAGGUUAAAACAUAGUUGAUUGUUUUAAUUCUUGUAGUUAUUAUUAUUUUAUUGAGGCUCACAUCAUCUCAUCUUUGCCUAGAAAAAGGCUUCCCUAGCUGGCUCCAAAGUGUUUUAGACAUAGCCCCAAAAGUCACUGCUAGCUCUCUUGCCCUUCAGUAUGAUAAAUUAUUCCAGGUUCAUGUUACACAAUUCCUGCCCCAGAUCUGUGAUCAGUUCUCGCCCAAAGAUCCCAGGUUCCUUUUAGUGCUCACAGUCUGAGCACUAGAUUUUGAACCUAGUAAAUGAACCCAGAGAUACUCAUUUUACCUACCUUGUCAUUAUUGCUAAGUCUUUUCAGUCAAUAGAGCCAGGGAAUUUAUAUUUUUACAUUAAAAUACAUCACAAUUUCAAUUAAUAAUUACAAUAUAAUUUAAAGACUAGAAGGUUUCUUUUUGGCUCUGUUUUUGUUUUCUGAGACAAGUUCUGGCCAUCACCUAGGCUAGAGUGCAGUGGCCCAAUUACAGCUCACUGCAACCUUGAAAUCCUGGGCUCAAGCGAUCUUUCUGCCUUGGCCUUCUGAGUAGCUGGAACUACAGGCAUGCACUACCAUGCCCAGCCAUUUAAAAAAAAAAUCUCUUUUGUAGAAAUGGGGUCUUGCUGUGUUGCCUAGGCUAGUCCCAAACUCCUGGGCUCAAGCAAUCCUCCCACCUUGGCCUCCCAAAGUGUUGGGAUUAUAGGUGUGAGCCACCACAGCUGGCCAAGACUACAAGGUUUUUACUUAAACGUUUUUUCUCUUAAAUCUAAAUUACCUUUCUUCCAUACCAAAAAUCCUAGUUCCUGAUACCAACAUAAUUUCACUUGCUUUAUCCCAUAAUGCACACAACAGUCUCAAGAAGAACGAGAGAGAGAGACAGAGAGAGAGAAAGAGAGAGAGAGAAAAGAGAAAGAGAGGGAGGGAGGGAAGAAAGGAAGGAAAGAAGGAAAGCAGGAAGGCAGGCAGGCAGAUGUAAACAGUAACAACACUAUCAUCAAUAAUAAUUUUAAAAAACAAUGUAAAAUUGUUUCACAAUUCUUUUUCUUAGGAGAUAUCUACAUACUGUAUCAUUUGAAAUCAUUCCUCUCUAUAGUUGCCAAGAAACAGAUGAAAUGCAAACUUCACCUUCAAACUGAGAGAACAAGGUCUGCAAAGAUGGAACAACUUCUCCCUUCUAAGAAAAAUAAGGGAAAUCGUUUACUGGCCCAGAAGACCUCACGAUGGCAAAUUCAAUCAGAUCCUCAUUAACCAGAUCAAAAUGAGGCCUGACAGAGUCUUCAUUAGAUCUACAAAAUCCUGUUCGUUUUAGCUCUGAGUCUCCUGACUUGUCCGUGUCAUCAUAAAUUGGUUGUUUUGAAGUCAGAGAGGACAAAGUGCUUGCAGAUGAUGGUCACCCUGCCUGACCUAUAAGGACAAGGUUCUGUUAGAAAAAAUGAAACAGUGCAGCAGUGGCAAGGCCUGGCCAAAGAAAUAGGUUUGCUAACCGGCAAGAAACAGAGAAAAGAAAAACCCAGUUAUUUAAAAAUACUGACCAAAAUACUAACAACUACAAAGACAUUGUCCCAGUCCCAUCACGGAAACCAAUGUAAACUUCUCUUGUGAAGCUGAAUUACAGGUCACUUAAGUUCUAUUACAUACAUUUUACAUUCCCAGUCAGAAAAAUGGCAUCCUCUAUAUCUGAAAAAAUUCAUCUAACCCCAGAUGAAGUCUUCUUUUUUUUUUUAUAAUGGAAUUAAAUUCUGUCACUUUUUUUAGCAGUGGUGCCAGCGAGACCAGCCACUGAAAUAAGCAGAGUUAAUGGCCAUUGAGUUAACGGACUUGAGAGGGGCCAAAAAGCCGGCUUGCCAAUGUGCCCGUGGCUUCCACCAUAAAGUCACUCCAAUGAAUGGGGCACUGCAUUUCCAAAAUUCUCCUGUCACAAAUGCUAAUGUUGACCUAUCACAGUGCCCAGGCCAUCACAGACACUCA
rnacentral:lncRNA from 10 species